UGGCGAAUUUGCAGAUGUCUGUGUAUCUUGUAGGAGAAUGGACCACUUCUGCUUUAGACGAGGAUGAAGAAUAUGCCUGGUUAAAUAAAAACGUGUACCAACCUCCAUCAACGGUAGACUGCAGAGUUCAGCGCAUGCUUCCCAGAGAGUUCCUCCUUCCCUACUGGGCUUUAAGCAUGCGGCCUGGUUGUGAGUUCAUAUCAGUCAAUCAAAUCAAUCUGUCUGCAUCCUGAUUCAGGCCAUCUCCCCCAC
rnacentral:lncRNA from 1 species